UACGGAGGAUCCAAGCGUUAUCCGGAUUUAUUGGGUUUAAAGGGUGCGUAGGCGGCUUAUUAAGUCAGGGGUGAAAGACGGUGGCUCAACCAUCGCAGUGCCUUUGAUACUGAUGAGCUUGAAUGAACUAGAGGUAGGCGGAAUGUGACAAGUAGCGGUGAGAUGCAUAGAUAUGUCACAGAACACCGAUUGCGAAGGCAGCUUACUAUGGUUUUAUUGACGCUGAGGCACGAAAGCGUGGGGAGUCAAACAGGA
rnacentral:rRNA from 1 species